ACAACACGACCAGCUACGAUCGACAUUCAUUCUCAAAUUGGACUGUGAACAGCUUGUUUUCUCUCAAUCAUUCAUAUAUCUGACAAAAGCCUUUACACACGGUGAGAUCCCAUGAAGCAGCAAUCCUGAUGUUUCCCAGUAGGUCCUGCUCUCUCCUGGGAAUGAAGCCAUUUCUGAGUCCCUGAGUUCCUAUGACAGGUGCCGAAUGAAAGAGAAUGGAUGAUUUUGUGCUUCUACUCUUCAAAUGUUGAGUCUUUCUUUUCCUCGCAAAAAGUGAAACCAAUUAAAAACAGCUCAUUCUGCCGUUGCCCACAACAGAGUCCAUGAUGUUCAAACUUCAGCCAGUCAGGAAUUAAAUGAUGUGCAUGUUUGUUUUGUUGGCACAAUUAAAAAUGAGCAUGUCGCAGUGUGACUGUGCAAGAUACAAAACAUCAUGAAGUUGUUUGCACUGUGAUGUGAAGUAACAAAAAAAAUUCCUGUCGCCUACAAGAGAUGCAACAGAAUUCUUGAUGUCUUCUGAGCUAUGCAAACAUCCUCCUGUGGAUGCCAGCUAAUGAUGGAGAAUGCCAGUAAAUAUCAGAUAUGGUCCAAGUUCCCCCUGAGACGACAGCUUAAUUUUUCAGCGUGGCCUGAUUACCAUCUCCUCCACUCACGGUCAGGACGCCCUCCAACUAUCGAGGAAGAGAGUCGAAUGACUGAAAAGCAAUGUCAAACGUCCUCCGUUUUCCACUUUGGACCAAUUUCAUGCUCCUCUGAUCAGACAAAACACUAGCAGACCUGCCACUUUACCAGCCGCUGAGAACCCCGACCAGGCAUGCGUGAUUAGUGGGGCUGCACUUCCAAGAGUGGAUGUUUUACCUCCUUCUGAACUGUGCUGUGCACCAUAUGUUUGAGAACAACUGGAGCAGUGACACUGGAAAGAAGAGUCCAGGUCGUGAGGACAGAGAAGAUUCCAGAACACACAGCCAUUAAUGAUAUAAAGGUGGAUGGUUUGCAUUAGCGACUUUAUUUCUGGGAAUCUGACUUUCUUCAACCGGUCCUACUCGUCCUGCUCCGAGCGGGACUCGAAUUGGGGUCUCCGGCGAGGUAACAAGGACUAAAGACAGUCGCUAACGGUUUCUUGAGGUCAUGGGAGUGAGGUUUACACGCACAGCUACGUCCGUUACACUCACCUCACUCCCAUCCGGGUCAUGGCACCAAAUUUAAGAGGGCAGAACCUUUGAAGAAGGAGAGAGGAGCUGGUGUGGGUAACUGCCCUUCAGCAACAGGAAUGCUGGGACUUCCUUGUGGUGCAGUUGUCUUUUAUCUCUCAGAGCCAGAACUGGUGGGUGAUGAUGCUCGAAUAAAACAACAUCAGCCAUGAUGAUCUUUAGAAGAACGUCUAGUAUUUGGUUUCCUAAUUGACACCAUAAUGCUCAGUCCAAUUUGUUUUGGAUAAUGCCGGACCAUGUGUGUGAGAAGACCGUGUGGAAUUGUGCGGCCCCCUGAUGUCUGGAGCCAUCUGGCUGUGGCCGGUUCAUCUCUCUCCGAGUGUACACAGUAAUUACAGGGAACCGGCCCACCCGAGCUUGACGAACUAACAGCGUUCGCUCUCUACGACUCUUCCAGCACAAUCCUCAUCGCUUCAUCUUUUACUUUUUUCUUUUCCCACUUGCAGUUUCUCUCUAGCUCCAUGUGAUAAAUAUUUAUGGGAUGAAAUGCAUGCGGGAAUCGUUUACAGCCCACUGACAUUGAGUGGAGAAAUUUGCAAAAGAUACAUGACCGAACCAUCACCACAGAGAAUCCCACCUGCCUCUGAGAGAAAAAACCCUCCCUCUUAAAGAUAAACGUUCCAAUUAGAGUCCAAAAUACCUUAAAAGCCAUUACAACAUCUUUUUUUUCUCUUUAGAAAAGCGUCAAUGUGUUGGCGGUUUAACCCUUUCAUGCAUGAAUUAUGAUAACCUCUGUCAGGAUUUGUGACUGUGUGUUUUUAUUGCUCUUAUGGCAUG